CUCACAUACCUGUCCCUUGCUCUCUCCUAAAGGGCAGCACUCUAUUCUCUCCUCCAGCUCUGCUUCACUCCACCUUGUUUGAUUGAUAUCUUUUGUCCUGUUGUGUUUUAUGCCCCACCUCCUAUAGACUGUAAGUUUGUUUCAGCAGGGCCCUCUUCAACCUAUUGUUCCCGUAAGUUUUUGUAAUUGUCUCAUUUAUUGUUAA